CACGCCCAGACUCUACGGGAGGCAGCAGUGGGGAAUAUGCACAAUGGCGAAAGCUGAUGCAGCAACGCCGCGUGAGGGAUGACGGCUUCGGGUUGUAAACCUCUUUUAGUAGGGAAGAAGCGAAAGUGACGGUACCUGCAGAAAAAGCACCGGCUAACUACGUGCCAGCAGCCGCGGUAAUACGUAGGGUGCAAGCGUUGUCCGGAAUUAUUGGGCGUAAAGAGCUCGUAGGCGGUUUGUCGCGUCUGCUGUGAAAUCCCGAGGCUCAACCUCGGGCUUGCAGUGGGUACGGGCAGACUAGAGUGCGGUAGGGGAGAUUGGAAUUCCUGGUGUAGCGGUGGAAUGCGCAGAUAUCAGGAGGAACACCGAUGGCGAAGGCAGAUCUCUGGGCCGUAACUGACGCUGAGGAGCGAAAGCAUGGGGAGCGAACAGGAUUAGAUACCCUGGUAGUCCAUGCCGUAAACGUUGGGCGCUAGAUGUAGGGACCUUUCCACGGUUUCUGUGUCGUAGCUAACGCAUUAAGCGCCCCGCCUGGGGAGUACGGCCGCAAGGCUAAAACUCAAAGGAAUUGACGGGGGCCCGCACAAGCGGCGGAGCAUGCGGAUUAAUUCGAUGCAACGCGAAGAACCUUACCAAGGCUUGACAUACACCGGAAACGGCCAGAGAUGGUCACCCCCUUGUGGUCGGUGUACAGGUGGUGCAUGGUUGUCGUCAGCUCGUGUCGUGAGAUGUUGGGUUAAGUCCCGCAACGAGCGCAACCCUCGUUCUAUGUUGCCAGCGGGUUAUGCCGGGGACUCAUAGGAGACUGCCGGGGUCAACUCGGAGGAAGGUGGGGAUGACGUCAAAUCAUCAUGCCCCUUAUGUCUUGGGCUUCACGCAUGCUACAAUGGCCGGUACAAAGGGCUGCGAUACCGUAAGGUGGAGCGAAUCCCAAAAAGCCGGUCUCAKUUCGGAUUGAGGUCUGCAACUCGACCUCAUGAAGUCGGAGUCGCUAGUAAUCGCAGAUCAGCAACGCUGCGUA
rnacentral:rRNA from 1 species